rnacentral:tRNA from 1 species
GGAUAGCUCAGUUGGUUAGAGCAUAGUGCUGAUAACAUCAAGGUUGCGGGUUCGAUCCCCAUAUGGGCCA